rnacentral:rRNA from 1 species
UACGUAGGGUGCGAGCGUUGUCCGGAAUUACUGGGCGUAAAGAGCUCGUAGGUGGUUUGUCGCGUCGUCUGUGAAAUUCCGGGGCUUAACCUCGGGCGUGCAGGCGAUACGGGCAAUACUUGAGUGCUGUAGGGGAGACUGGAAUUCCUGGUGUAGCGGUGAAAUGCGCAGAUAUCAGGAGGAACACCGAUGGCGAAGGCAGGUCUCUGGGCAGUGACUGACGCUGAGGAGCGAAAGCAUGGGUAGCGAACAGGAUUA